rnacentral:rRNA from 1 species
CCUACGGGUGGCAGCAGUGGGGGAUAUUGCACAAUGGGGGAAACCCUGAUGCAGCGACGCCGCGUGGGUGAAGAAGUAUUUCGGUAUGUAAAGCUCUAUCAGCAGGGAAGAAAAUGCCGGUACCUGACUAAGAAGCCCCGGCUAACUACGUGCCAGCAGCCGCGGUAAUACGUAGGGGGCAAGCGUUAUCCGGAUGUACUGGGUGUCAAGGGAGCGUAGACGGCGCUGCAAGUCCGGAGUGAAAGCCCAUGGCUUAACCAUGGUACUGCUCUGGAAACUGUGGAGCUUGAGUGCGGGAGGGGCAGGCGGAAGUGGUGGGGGAGGGGUGAAAUGCGUAGAUAGUAGGAGG